rnacentral:rRNA from 1 species
GACGAACGCUGGCGGCGUGCUUAACACAUGCAAGUCGAACGGAAAGGCCCUGCUUUUGCGGGGUGCUCGAUUGGCGAACGGGUGAGUAACACGUGAGUAACCUGCCCUUGACUUUGGGAUAACUCCAGGAAACUGGGGCUAAUACCGGAUAUGAUCUCCUGCUGCAUGGUGGGGGUUGGAAAGAUUCGGCGGUUGGGGCUGGACUCGCGGCUUAUCAGCUUGUUGGUGGGGUUGUGGAUUACCAAGGCUUUGACGGGUAGGCGGCCUGAGAGGGUGAGCGGCCACAUUGGGACUGAGGUAAGGCCCAGACUCGUACGGGAGGCAGCAGUGGGGAAUAUUGCAGAAUGGGCGGAAGCCUGAUGCAGCAACGCCGCGUGCGGGAUGACGGCCUUCGGGUUGUAAACCGCUUUCGCCUGUGACGAAGCGUGAGUGACGGUAAUGGGUAAAGAAGCACCGGCUAACUACGUG